rnacentral:rRNA from 1 species
ACGUAUGGAGCAAGCGUUAUCCGGAUUUACUGGGUGUAAAGGGUGCGUAGGUGGCAGUGCAAGUCAGAUGUGAAAGGCCGGGGCUCAACCCCGGAGCUGCAUUUGAAACUGCAUAGCUGGAGUACAGGAGAGGCAGGCGGAAUUCCUAGUGUAGCGGUGAAAUGCGUAGAUAUUAGGAGGAACACCAGUGGCGAAGGCGGCCUGCUGGACUGUUACUGACACUGAGGCACGAAAGCGUGGGGAGCAAACAG